GGAGGGGGCGAGCGUUAUUCGGAUUUACUGGGCGUAAAGCGCGCGUAGGCGGCGUGGUAAGUCAAAGGUGAAAGCCCUCGGCUCAACCGAGGAACUGCCUUUGAAACUGCCUCGCUUGAGUCCGGGAGGGGGGAGCGGAAUUCCCAGUGUAGCGGUGAAAUGCGUAGAUACUGGGAGGAACACCGGUGGCGAAGGCGGCUCCCUGGACCGGUACUGACGCUGAGGUGCGAAAGCGUGGGUAGCAAACAGGAUUAGAUACCCUGGGUAGUCCACGCCGUAAACGAUGGGCACUAGGUGCAGCGGGUGUCGACCCCCCUGCUGUGCCGAAGCUAACGCAUUAAGUGCCCCGCCUGGGGAGUACGGUCGCAAGGCUG
rnacentral:rRNA from 1 species